AACUUUCAACAACGGAUCUCUUGGUUCUGGCAUCGAUGAAGAACGCAGCGAAAUGCGAUACGUAAUGUGAAUUGCAGAAUUUAGUGAAUCAUCGAAUCUUUGAACGCACAUUGCGCCCAUUAGUAUUCUAGUGGGCAUGCCUGUUCGAGCGUCAU
rnacentral:rRNA from 1 species